UACAGAGGUGGCAAGCGUUGUUCGGAAUUACUGGGCGUAAAGGGCGCGUAGGCGGCCAUCUAAGUCAGACGUGAAAUCCCCCGGCUUAACCUGGGAACUGCGUCUGAUACUGGACGGCUCGAGUUUGGGAGAGGGAUGCAGAAUUCCAGGUGUAGCGGUGAAAUGCGUAGAUAUCUGGAGGAAUACCGGUGGCGAAGGCGGCAUCCUGGACCAAUAUUGACGCUGAGGAGCGAAAGCUAGGGGAGCAAACGGG
rnacentral:rRNA from 1 species